ACGGUCCUAAGGUAGCGAAAUUCCUUGUCGGGUAAGUUCCGACCCGCACGAAAGGUGUAACGAUUUGGGCACUGUCUCAACGAGGGACCCGGUGAAAUUGAAAUACCUGUGAAGAUGCAGGUUACCCGCGACUGGACAGAAAGACCCCAUGGAGCUUUACUGUAACCUGACAUUGGGUUUUGUUGUAUUACGUACAGGAUAGGUGGGAGGCUUAGAAGGCUGGACGCUAGUCUGGCUGGAGCCGGCGUUGGGAUACCACCCUUGAUACAACGGAAUUCUAACCGAGAGAGUAACGAAAUCCGGGACAGUGUCAGGCGGGCAGUUUGACUGGGGCGGUCGCCUCCGAAAGAGUAACGGAGGCGCCCAAAGGUUCCCUCAGCGCGGCCGGAAAUCGCGCGAAGAGUGUAAAGGCAGAAGGGAGCUUGACUGCGAGCCAAACACGGCGAGCAGGUACGAAAGUAGGGCUUAGUGAUCCGGUGGUACCGAGUGGAAGGGCCAUCGCUCAACGGAUAAAAGCUACCCUGGGGAUAACAGGCUAAUCUCUCCCAAGAGUCCAUAUCGACGGGGAGGUUUGGCACCUCGAUGUCGGCUCAUCACAUCCUGGGGCUGAAGUCGGUCCCAAGGGUUGGGCUGUUCGCCCAUUAAAGUGGUACGUGAGCUGGGUUCAGAACGUCGUGAGACAGUUCGGUCCCUAUCCAUCGCGGGCGCAAGAGAUUUGAAGGGGUCUGCUCCUAGUACGAGAGGACCGGAGUGGACGGACCGCUGGUGUACCAGUUAUUCCGCCAGGAGUACAGCUGGGUAGCUACGUCCGGACUGGAUAAACGCUGAAAGCAUCUAAGCGUGAAGCCAUCCUUAAGAUGAGAUCUCUCACAGAGUAAUCUGGUAAGACACCUUAAAGAAGAUGAGGUAGAUAGGCCGGGAGUGUAAGUGCAGCAAUGUAUUGAGCUGACCGGUACUAAUAUGUCGAGGGCUUGACUUC
rnacentral:rRNA from 1 species